AACAGCCUUUGCCCUCCUGUUUAUAUGCUUCCUUCAAAUACUGGAAGGCCACAGUGAGGUCUCCACAAUGAAGUCUUCUCUAAGCUAAACAAGCCCAGUUCCCUCAACCUUUCUUCAUAGGAGAAGUGCUACAGCCCUCUGAUCAUCUACCUGAUCUCAUAACUAGGAAAAAGAAAUUCAUUUCUGCUUUUCUCAAAUCUUUUAUUACAAGUGGGUAACAAGGAAAGACUACUCUGAAUAGGAAGAGCAUCAGGUCAGCUGUGAGACCAGUCAAGGAAACUUUCCUGGGUCAGGUCAUCUGAAGAGAAAAACAGCAACUUGCAUCAUCUGUGGAGACUGGAAAGAAAGCAUGGAAGUGAGACACCACCACCGCAUCUCCAGAGAAGGAGAACAACUUGUCAUCCUCAGUUCUCCCAGCCUGCUGCAGUGAGAAGACCAUGGCCACAGAAGAGGCAUGGAAAUGUUCCAUCUGCAGUGAUGUGCAACAGGACAGUGCCUACGUGAUUCUGUGUAAUCACAUGUUCUGCACUGCCUGCAUUCAUCAGUGGGCAAGGCUGAGAGACAGCUGCCUGCUGUGCAGUAGGGCCAUGCAGAACAUCCGGGUCCCCGUGCGGGGAGACCCCCUCCACCGUCCCCUGAGCAGAUGGCCAAAGAGCAGGAGAGAGUGGGCGGCCUCCUGCCAAAGGUUUGGGCAGCACUUUUCAGGAUCGGAUGAGACAUCCUCGACCUGGUGCUGCCCUGGCUGGAGCAGGAAUUACGCUGCACUGGAUCAACUUUCUGAAAAGCAUGAGCCUGGCAUUCCUGUGCCAGGUGGGGCCACAGACAGGGACACCCUGGUCCAGUGCACAGAGCACGCCCUGGGACCCAUCAGCGCACCGCUCAUCGACGCCCUCGUCAGAACCAUCGAGAGUCGGUGCGGCCAGCGGGCCCGGAGGCUGCUGGGCCUCGAAGAUCCCAGCGCUGCCCAGGCGCAGGAUGACGGCCCCGCGGCCCCGUCCGGUCCCGCCGCCUCCCCGCAGGGUACCGUUGUCGCCAGCGCUGCGCCUUCCAGCAGCUCUGCGGGUCCAGACGCAGAAGAGCUCCCCGGCACGUCCAGCGGGG
ensembl:lncRNA